rnacentral:rRNA from 1 species
UACGGAGGGUGCAAGCGUUAUCCGGAUUCACUGGGUUUAAAGGGUGCGUAGGUGGGUUGGUAAGUCAGUGGUGAAAUCUCCGAGCUUAACUUGGAAACUGCCAUUGAUACUAUCAGUCUUGAAUAUUGUGGAGGUCAGCGGAAUAUGUCAUGUAGCGGUGAAAUGCUUAGAUAUGACAUAGAACACCAAUUGCGAAGGCAGCUGGCUACGCGUAUAUUGACACUGAGGCACGAAAGCGUGGUGAUCAAACAGG